GAGGGUGUAGCUCAGGAGUAGAGCAUGUGCUUAGUGUGCAUGAAGUCCUGCGUUCAAUCCCCAGUACCUCCG
rnacentral:tRNA from 1 species